rnacentral:rRNA from 1 species
GACGUAGGGCGCGAGCGUUGUCCGGAAUUAUUGGGCGUAAAGAGCUCGUAGGCGGCUUGUUGCGUCGGCUGUGAAAACCCAUGGCUUAACCAUGGGCUUGCAGCCGAUACGGGCAGGCUAGAGUUCGGUAGGGGAGACUGGAAUUCCUGGUGUAGCGGUGAAAUGCGCAGAUAUCAGGAGGAACACCGGUGGCGAAGGCGGGUCUCUGGGCCGAUACUGACGCUGAGGAGCGAAAGCGUGGGGAGCGAACAGG